rnacentral:rRNA from 1 species
GACGAACGCUGGCGGCGUGCUUAACACAUGCAAGUCGAACGGAAAGGCCCUGCUUGCAGGGUACUCGAGUGGCGAACGGGGGAGUAACACGUGGGUGAUCUGCCCUGCACUUCGGGAUAAGCCUGGGAAACUGGGUCUAAUACCGGAUAGGAGCCAUUUUUAGUGUGAUGGUUGGAAAGUUUUUUCGGUGUAGGAUGAGCUCGCGGCCUAUCAGCUUGUUGGUGGGGUAAUGGCCUACCAAGGCGGCGACGGGUAGCCGGCCUGGGAGGGUGGACGGCCACAUUGGGACUGAGGUACGGCCCAGAAUCCUACGGGGGGCAGCAGUGGGGAAUAUUGCACAAUGGGCGCAAGCCUGAUGCAGCGACGCCGCGUGGGGGAUGACGGCCUUCGGGUUGUAAACUCCUUUCGCUAGGGACGAAGCUUUUUGUGACGGUACCUAGAUAAGAAGCACCGGCUAACUACGUG